rnacentral:rRNA from 1 species
CCCUUAGAUGUUCUGGGCAGCACGCGCGCUACAAUGGUCUUCGCAAACGGAUGCAUUCUCGAAGGAGAAUGCCAAUCUUGGAAUCUAUGGCUUGGUCGGGACAGUUGCUUGCAAUUUUUCGACUCGAACCAGGAAUUCCUUGUAAUCGUGAUUCAUCACAUCACGAUGAAUACGUCCCUGCCCUUUGUACACACCGCCCGUCGCUCCUACCGAUCGAAGAGUUAGGUGAAUUGUUUUGAUCGAUAAGAUUUGACUAUGGUCAACUCUCGUUGUGAAAUUCUGUGAAUCUGACUGUUUAGAGGAAGGAAAAGUCGUAACA